AACGUAGGAGACAAACGUUAUCCGGAGUUACUGGGCGUAAAGGGCGCGUAGGCGGUUUUUUAAGUGAGGCGUGAAAGCCCUGGGCUUAACCCAGGAGGUGCGUUUCAUACUGGAAAGCUUGAGUACGAGAGAGGAAAGCGGAAUUCCUAGUGUAGAGGUGAAAUUCGUAGAUAUUAGGAAGAACACCAGUGGCGAAGGCGGCUUUCUGGCUCGUAACUGACGCUGAGGCGCGAAAGCGUGGGGAGCAAACAGG
rnacentral:rRNA from 1 species